GGAAUCUCUAAGACGCAGAGAAGAUACUCCCCACCCUGAGUAUCAAGAAAAGGCACAUGACCCGUGGUCAACCACGCUCCAGAAGCAGGUGAUCCUCCUCCCGAUGUACCACCAGAAGGUAAUAAAAAGUCCAGUAAAAAGUAAUACAGCAAAGCUCCCUGCAGAGCGCUUCAAGGAGAAAGAGAAACAAUCC